GACAGCGCUCUAUGGCUCGGAGGGCCCAGAUACUACGUCGUUCCUAAUUUUUCCGGUGUUAUCAGUUUAUAUACAAUUUAAGGAUUCUUGGUUCUUGAUCCCAUCGGAAGUUCCAUUUAGGAUAUGAAUUAGGUUUGUGUGUCGGCGCUGUAAUUCAGGAUUUCGCGGCCAGUCUAGUCUUAUAAUUAACGUGGUUUUUCCUUUUCCUUUUGGUUUUUACUGCUCCAAGUUAAUAACAUAAUUUGCAAAGAUUCACAAUCAUACCAAUUGAAAUGGCUGGAAGAAUUUUAUAAUCACAGUUCGCACCAAAACUAAAAUAUAAUAAUACAAAAAGUACAAUCGUGUCGGCGUAAAUCGAAACCGACUUAGUUGUUUCCCCAGUCUUUUUGCUCGCCGAUUCAGACCUCAUUAGGGUUCUUGCUUACACAGGGUUCCAUCAAAUUGUUGGAUAGGCUACGAGGGGUUUCUCUGUUACUCGAUAAAGCUUCGUAAUUCAUUCUCAGUUGGUGAUUUUCUGUACUUUCUCGUACAUUACAUGGGCUAGGCACGCACCAUAGUUCCUUCGAGGAAGACGAGAGAGUUAGAAGAAGGUCAAUGCAAGCAACAUUAACAACAUAAUCCCUUUACUGUUUGCCACCAGAGUAAGGGGCUUUUGAUCUGCCGUUCGUGUAUCAAGUCUCAAAUUGCAUCUCCUGGAUUCUCUGAUUUCUUUGUAGCCCUUUUCGCUGUUAUUAACGCCAAAUUCGCUCAAGUCACUCCACUUCUAUUCAAAAGGGUCGUGUUGCUGUCCAAAUCUUAAGGGAAAUUUUUUAUAGCGCAUCUAGUAAACCAGCAAGUCGCUGAGGAGAUCAUAGCACUUGAAUUAGCUGCCGUACUUCUGGAAGACCCAACUGAUGACAGUCUCGAGAUGGCUGUUGCGUUUGUGACGGAGUGUGGUGCGAUGCUUCAAGACGUUACAAAGGAUUGCAUGGAUAAUCAGAACACUUGGGGAUUAGGCUGCUUAAUUAGAGGUUUCACGAUCCAAAGAUGCAGGAAUCACAUGAAUUUAUCUUCCCUAAAGAUAAUCCAAAGAAUAUGAGGUUUGCAAUCAACUUCUUUACAUCCAUUGGUCUUUGUAGGCAUCACAGAAAAAUCUCAUAGGGUAUUUGAAGAACAUGCCAUGCCUCGUCACGCGACAGCAGAAGCAAGUUGUGAAAUCAGAAACAUGAAUACAUGAUCAUCAUCUGGAUGUGACAGUUUUGGUUCCAAGUAUGAAUCUGAGUCAGACUCAUCCUCUUCUUCGUUCGGAUGAAAGCGACAGAGAGAAGAGGAAUAGACUGAUGAGAUGGGGUCUCACGGUUCUCUCAUCCUUUCUACUUUGCAAUUCUCAUGAUGAAUCUAGGCAGCAACUGUUCUUUGAUUGUGCAUUUGCUGUAGAGGUCUGGUCAUUCUUCACAGGCAAGGCCCAUGUUUCUCCAGAAUCUUUACAGUAAAGGAGAGUUGAUCCUCAACAUCUUUGCAUCCGUUCUUUUUUUUUUUUUUUGAACACCACUUCAUUAACGCUUAAAUGUCAACAUCUUUGCAUCCGCUCUUUCUUAUUCAUUUAAUUUCACAAUCAUUUAAAACUA